rnacentral:rRNA from 1 species
UACGGGGGGGGCAAGCGUUGUUCGGAAUUACUGGGCGUAAAGGGCUCGUAGGCGGCCAACUAAGUCGGACGUGAAAUCCCCAGGCUCAACCUGGGAACUGCGUCCGAUACUGGAUGGCUUGAAUUCGGGAGAGGGAUGCAGAAUUCCAGGUGUAGCGGUGAAAUGCGUAGAUAUCUGGAGGAAUACCGGUGGCAAAGGCGGCAUCCUGGACCGACAUUGACACUGAUGAGCGAAAGCCAGGGGAGCAAACGGG